rnacentral:rRNA from 1 species
UGGGGAAUAUUGGACAAUGGGCGAAAGCCUGAUCCAGCCAUGCCGCGUGUGUGAAGAAGGUCUUCGGAUUGUAAAGCACUUUAAGUUGGGAGGAAGGGCAGUAAGCGAAUACCUUGCUGUUUUGACGUUACCGACAGAAUAAGCACCGGCUAACUCUGUACCAGCAGCCGCGGUAAUACAGAGGGUGCAAGCGUUAAUCGGAAUUACUGGGCGUAAAGCGCGCGUAGGUGGUUCGUUAAGUUGAAUGUGAAAGCCCCGGGCUCAACCUGGGAACUGCAUCCAAAACUGGCGAGCUAGAGUAGGGCAGAGGGUGGUGGAAUUUCCUGUGUAGCGGUGAAAUGCGUAGAUAUAGGAAGGAACACCAGUGGCGAAGGCGACCACCUGGGCUCAUACUGACACUGAGGUGCGAAAGCGUGGGGAGCAAACAGG